AACUUUUAACAAUGGAUCUCUUGGUUCUCGCAUCGAUGAAGAACGUAGCAAAGUGCGAUAACUAGUGUGAAUUGCAUAUUCGUGAAUCAUCGAGUCUUUGAACGCAGCUUGCACUCUAUGGAUCUUCUAUAGAGUACGCUUGCUUCAGUAUCAU
rnacentral:rRNA from 7 species